AAAUUGAAGAGUUUGAUCAUGGCUCAGAUUGAACGCUGGCGGCAGGCCUAACACAUGCAAGUCGAACGGUAACAGGAAACAGCUUGCUGUUUCGCUGACGAGUGGCGGACGGGUGAGUAAUGUCUGGGAAACUGCCCGAUGGAGGGGGAUAACUACUGGAAACGGUAGCUAAUACCGCAUAACGUCGCAAGACCAAAGAGGGGGACCUUCGGGCCUCUUGCUAUCGGAUGUGCCCAGAUGGGAUUAGCUAGUAGGUGGGGUAACGGCUCACCUAGGCGACGAUCCCUAGCUGGUCUGAGAGGAUGACCAGCCACACUGGAACUGAGACACGGUCCAGACUCCUACGGGAGGCAGCAGUGGGGAAUAUUGCACAAUGGGCGCAAGCCUGAU
rnacentral:rRNA from 1 species